UGUGUACACAAUCCAGCACAAAGUGUAGCGAAGAAGGCAGUCAGGACCAGCCUAACAGAAAACAAAGUUUUCAAUACACUUUACAUCAAGGAGGCCAGUGAGUGACUGUCUGCAUUCAUGUCAGUAUAUCAACUGACCAACAGCUGUCUACAGCUGAUGAUCCUUGGAACACACACACCAGGCAGAGCCACAGCCAGUAUGAGGGGUGGAAGUCCUGCCAGCUGCUGCCUGUAUUUUUUACGAGUCACUAGAAUAUGAAGCUUCACCGAAAGAAUAGGCAAGCCCAGCCACUGACCCGGCGAGCCAGCAUUGUCAGACGCAGAUGUGAAGCAGAUGUGAUUGACGACCACAUACCCUUCACCAGGAGCAACACCAGACGAACUGGGAGCUCGACUGGACCUGUUAAGUCCUCGGCAUUGGAAACUAUGACAAGGGAGUGGUUCAGCUGACUAACGUCAUUGCUGUCUGCAGACAACCCCAGCAGCUGCUCCAGCACACGGCCCCCUCCUGCCUUCCAGUGGUUCAGCUGACUAACGUCAUUGCUGUCUGCAGACAACCCCAGCAGCUGCUCCAGCAGACGGCCCCCUCCUGCCUUCUAGUGGUUCAGCUGACUAACGUCAUUGCUGUCUGCAGGCAACCCCAGCAGCUGCUCCAGCAGACGGCCCCCUCCUGCCUUCCAGAUGUGUAACGGCUGUCUUCUGUAGAAAUGGACCAAGGCGCAGCAGGAACAACGAUCCCCAGCUGUUCCUGAUCAGGAGUCACAAGACCAACACAGAACAAUCACACACACAAGACUGCCACGUCCUGACCCCAAAACUACAACAACAGCUCCAUCUGCUGGUCAGGACGUGACAAGAUGCUACUGACCAAGCUACCCUCCAUCAGCCAGGUGGUUCUGGCUGAUGACCUGUCUCCAUUGCUGAGAAAAGCCGAUGAGGAAUAUCACUUCGUCCCCAAUAUUACUACUAAAAUGUCUAACUGUACCGAUGAGAAAGGAGGGCAGACUUAUCCAUUGUCACCCAACUGUGUUCAGUCAAGUUUACAGUGCCAAUUUGUUACCAGGCACAUGUUUAACAAGGCAUUCUGCGAAUAGAAUUACAAUACAGAAAUGUUCUUGCUCUUUAGUGAAAUUAUACCAACGUUAUGUUGGAAACCAUUAACAAGGAAAACGAGUUAUCAAGGAAAUUGUAACCCGUUUCUUGAACACCAUUGAUUCUAAGAACAAUAAGUGUUACCUGUAAGACAAUUUUUGUAUCACAGGUCUCCAAGUGUACAGUAGGUGUAUAUCCUUAAUAAAAUAAUUUGUGAUAGCUAAUUGUGCAGACUGAUUGCCAUGGCAUGGACAUGACAAUUCAGUUAAUAAAUUCAACACCAAUCUG